AUACGGAAGGUCCGGGCGUUAUCCGGAUUUAUUGGGUUUAAAGGGAGCGCAGGCGGCCUUUUAAGCGUGACGUGAAAUGUAGCCGCUCAACGGCUGAACUGCGUCGCGAACUGGUUAUCUUGAGUGAGUUCAAUGUUGGCGGAAUUCGUGGUGUAGCGGUGAAAUGCUUAGAUAUCACGAAGAACUCCGAUUGCGAAGGCAGCCAACAAGGCCUUUACUGACGCUAAAGCUCGAAGGUGCGGGUAUCGAACAGGAUUAGAUACCCUGGUAGUCCGCACGGUAAACGAUGGAUGCCCGCUGUUUGCGAUAUACUGUGAGCGGCCAAGAGAAAUCGUUAAGCAUCCCACCUGGGGAGUACGCCGGCAACGGUGAAACUCAAAGGAAUUGACGGGG
rnacentral:rRNA from 1 species